rnacentral:lncRNA from 1 species
GAAAUACCGUAAGUCACAAGCUACUAAGAAGUUUUAACUAUUUUACACAUCAUUUCUACAGAAAGAAGGAAAAAUGUACAUAGGGGGAUAGAGGGGGACUCCGAGGAUCUGCGGACGAGGGCAGAUGUACCUUGAAGUCUUUGAUAAGUAGCAACGACUGCAACUAGUGAUAAGGCUGAUAAGAUGAACCUGGAUAUGCACACAAAAAACAUAUGUAGGAAAGGGCAUGAGUACACCACAACGGUACCCAGUAAGUUCCAAGCCUAACCUCGGUUGAAUAGUGACGAGAUCAGGUCAGGGCCCUACUGGUAUGAAUAUAAUGAAAUAAGACAGAAUGAAAUAUCACAGUAAAAAUAAAUACAGAAAUCUAACAGGAAUAGAAUCAAUGAAAGACAACAGCUCAGAACAUAGUGAUAACAACAAGGGAUCUCCCAAGAUAUCGUCCCGUAGUCUCAAAUGUAAAUGUGUAGGGAGGAAUCUCCUGGAAUACCGUUCCGUAGUCCCAAAGUAAAUAUGCAGUGCUGGGGGAUUUCCCGGAAUAUUGUUUUGUAGUCCCAAAGUAAAUAUGCAGUACAGGGGGAUCUCCUGGAACACCAUUCCAUAGUUCCAAAGUAAAUAUGCAGCUCAACCAACAGAAAUAACAGAUACAACUAGCAAACCUACAGUUUAGAUUAAGUGCAAGUCAAGGAAAGCAGGAAAGUUUCACUAAACAUGCUUCAUAGAGUCAAAUAAGCAGUUAAAACACGUAGGCAUGCUACUCUAAACUAAACAGGAUAGUUCAUAUGCUAGUGUAGUUCAAAUAAGGAGAAAAUAGGUUAUGACUUAAUGAAAAACGGAGUUUUACAUCAAAUAGCACAUGUACGUACUCGUCACCUCGCGUACACGACGCUCAGAUAUCAAAACAGUACCAAAUCCUAAGGGGAGUUCUCCCACACAAGGUAGGCAAGCCACUUACCUCGAACCAAACUCAAAUCAAUCCGUCACAAUGCUUUCCACGAAUAUCCGGCUCCGGAUGAUCAUAUCUAGCCAAAUCAAUUACAUAACAUGAAUAUAGCAACACGAAACUAAUCUAGCUAAUGAAAUCAAAGCUAAGGCAAGAAAUUGGAAAAAUCGCCAAAAAAACCUCCCUGGGCCCA